ACAUCUUAAACCACACCCAUGAGGAAUAAAAGGGCACUGGCCCCAACCCCCACCAACCACUGGACCCAGACACCGUCCAUACUAUAACUGUCAGCUAACAGAGAUUUACCAUGGAAGGAGGCCAAACGCAGUCCGCUGUCCCAACCUACCUUGGAUGGUCCAUCUUUAACACUCUAUGCUGUUGUCUGCCUCUAGGGAUUGCUGCUAUCGUCUGCUCCUGCAAGGCGCAAAAUGCAAAUCUUGUUGGACAAGCAGCUCUAGCCGAGGAUGCAUCGAGGAAUGCCAAGGUCCUCAACAUCAUCGCACUCGUCUGUGGAAUAAUCCUGCUCAUCAUUUUCAUCGCUUUCAAAGUCAGCGGGAACGUCUGAGGUCGAAGCGGGGGAAGAUGCUGCAUUUCUUUUUUUUUCUUUUUUUUUUACCAGAAGGUGGAUGGAGGGAAACUCUUUUCUUUUCGUGUACUCCCCCUCCUCCACACGCAGGACCACAAAGUUGCAACAGAUGUCUGUACGUGCGCGUUCACAUGUGUUUGUGAUUCUUUUAAUUAGGUUUCCAUAAGAAAAAGAAAAAAAAUGCUUAUGAAAAAUGCUUACUGUGUGUGUCUCAAGUUGCAAACUAUGUAUGUGUUGUCCGAGGAGGCGGUUCUGUUUUGUUAAGUUGCAAAAUAAUAAACUAUGCAACACAAUUGUUUUGUGUGAUGAGUGUUUACAAGAUUCACCAUUCACUUACAAAAGGUCAGGGAACUAUAGUGGACACCAUAAUACUCAUGGACUGGACACAAAAGUGUAUUUUUAGUAUGUAAGUACCCUAUUACGUCUCAUUUCCUGACACAUUAUAUAAGACGAAACUGGACACAUCCAAACAAUGUUAACAACCUUGUGCUGUUUACAUUUAGCGGGCGAGCAAGUCAUGAUGUUCACAAUGUCCUCAUUCUGAGUCACAAUUUGUACAGACUAAAUGCAAUGAGAUCAUAAAGUUUUCAGCUGAACUGCUGCAACUAUUUCCCAUGAACUAAAGUAGGCGAAUGUGGUUGAGAGGCCGUGACCACUAAGUUUCAGUUCGGAGAUGGCUUUAUCUACGUACUGAAACCCCAAACCUUGCACCCCAUUCUGUAUGCGCAGGUGGUUCUAGCGCGGUUGGCAUGCUACCACCCACACUUUCCAAACAAAAACAACAUUGGACGAAGUCAUCCUCGCUGAUUAUUACGAACACUAGAAAGAACAUGCAAAAAUAAAAUACAGGAGGAGGUGGAGGGCCCCUCACCCUGACCAGAGGGUGCUAGAUAGAUAGAUACAUAGAUGUUAUACAACAGGAAAACACAAUAUACUGUAUACAUGAUAUUUAUAGACUUAUACAAAAUAAAUGAAUUGAAAUAAGUGAAUACAAGAAGGAAAAAGAAAUAAUAGCGUUCUUUGAGUCUCUUGGAGAAGGAGCUCUGUUGUCUGGCUAUCAUGUGGUGGAGAGGGUGGUCAGGGUUAUUCGUCAUUGAUAGUUUGUUGAGUGCUACGAAAAGACACUACAUGUAUAAAUAUAAUGUACAAUUCACAAACCAUGCAUGUAUUUUGUGCACAAUUAAUUACGUAUGCCAUGUAUGUUUAUCAAACGGAUGUUACGAGGACGGCCCUGAAAUGGAUUCAGGGUGGCAUGGAAACAGUUCACAGUGGUCGUCCACUUCCUCUAAACUGACGGUGGUUGGUAAAAGGUGUUAAGUGUUUCUCUCUAACUGUCAUUUUAAAGCUUUGCAUACACUUUCUCGCUGGUAUGGAAGCAAAAAAAAAAAAUCUGCCCAGUUGUUCUCUGCUGGUCCUGACCUCCUUUCCCAAAAGCCCAUCAAGAUGUGACAACAGAUAAGUUUAGCUGUGCUCCUUGGGAGGUUUCUCAACCUGCAUGUCUACAGACAAUCAAGAAACACGAGAAACAAAAUUCUUACUUUGCCCAGCAUGCACGUAAUUUGUCAGAUAAUGUAUGACUCCCAAUGACAUUUAACUUGCCAAAUUCUGACUAGCAAGACAAAGUGACAAAGUGAUCUAACCACUGCGAGUUGACCCAGAUUUAGAAGUUCAUGUUCAAGGUUAACCACUAGAGGGUAAGGUUUAGAUGACAAAGCUGAUAGGUGUUUUUGCAUCUGUGUUUUCUGUACUCACAGCUAAGGAUAACAGAAAAAAAAAAAAACAUAUUACAAUAUAUUACAUACCAACUAUUAUCUCCUCAACACUUUUGAGUGAACCUUCUUCUAGGGUGAUCAUCAUGCUGAGAAUAUUUUACUGCCAUGGACUUAAGAACCAAAACUAUUCGAGCAGACGAAAUUUAAUUGAAUGUCAAUUAAAGCACUGAAGGUAAACCACUUCAAAGAACACAGCAAGUUAUUUGACAUGUUUCUGGUUCUAUCUUAAAGGCUUCUUGUAUACACGUCUCACCCAGUCACAAUCAUGGUGGGGGGGACACAAUGCUGUUUGUCAACCACUUAGACCACGCCUAGCAAGAAUAAAAAGGCACAGGUCUCAACAUCCACCGGCUACUGUACCUAGACACCGUCAAACAAAUAAUAACUCGCAUCCACCCGAAGUAAAACAGGCAGACACCAUGGAGGAAGGCCAAACACAGGGUACUGUUCCGACUCACCUCGGCUGGUCCAAAUUCAGCACCGCUUGCUGUUGUAUGCCUCUCGGUCUUGCUGCUAUGUGGUACUCCUACAAGGUAAAAAAUGCUAAUCUUCAAGGACAAACAGCUAUAGCUGAGGAUGCCUCACAGACGGCCAAGGUCCUAAACAUCCUCGCGUUCAUCUGUGGAAUCAUUUGUGUGAUCAUUUUCAUCACUUUCGAAAUCACUGAAAAGCAGCUAUGAAAUGAAGCCAAAGCAGCAGGCAAAAGGCGCAAGAAGAUGGAUGGAUGGAAUCUCAGCGAGGCUUUUUUUUUUGCUCAUGUCACCUAUGUUUGUGCUUGUUUUAGAAAAUGGUUUUUAAAAAUGGUGCUCACAACGUAUGUCACCAAAUGCCAAACUGUAUGUUUUUGUUUUAAAAUGUUGCUUGUUUUGCUGUUGUGCAGAAAAUAAGUUUGUUUUGUGUGAUGACUAAAAGGCAGUAAACUAUGGUGGAUACCAUAAUGUUGCAUUGCUUGAGUUUACGUAGCUGGAUUAAAAUAAUGAAAACAA